rnacentral:sRNA from 1 species
GAAUUAAGUCUUUUUUAGCUAAAAAAUGAACAAAACCUGAGAUGCAUGAGUGUCCUUACCAAAAGGAAGUCCUCGUUUCUAGAACAGGUCUGUCUUCCGGCCUGUGGGUCCAUAGAAUCAUCACAGAAAAAGUGAUUUCAGGAGGUCUCCCCCGCUUUCUGCUCCCAAGGCCGUCUGACUGAGCCUCGGAGGAGAGAAGGAAGCCAUUUCUGGGAGGCCAAAACGUCCGUCUUCCAGGCUCUUGCUGUAAGUCAGCUCGCUUUUACAGAUGAGGAACCAAGAUCCUGGGAAGAUGGCAGAGUUGGGCCUAAAUGAGCACCAUCAAAAUGAAGUUAUUAAUUAUAUGCGUUUUGCUCGUUCAAAGAGAGGCUUGAGACUCAAAACUGUAGAUUCCUGCUUCCAAGACCUCAAGGAGAGCAGGCUGGUGGAGGAGACCUUCACCAUAGAUGAAGUCUCUGAAGUCCUCAAUGGAUUACAAGCUGUGGUUCAUAGCGAGGUGGAAUCUGAGCUCAUCAACACUGCCUAUACCAAUGUG